AUAGUAUGGACAAUCUUGAAAAAGAUCCUUGAAACUCUCCCAAGCAUAGUAUAGAUUCUCAUCUGGCUUCUGUUUAAAGCACACAAUCUCAUUGUGAAGUCU
rfam:Capsicum annuum cultivar Zunla-1 chromosome 5, whole genome shotgun sequence